rnacentral:rRNA from 1 species
ACUCCUACGGGAGGCAGCAGUGGGGAUAUUGCACAAUGGGGGAAACCCUGAUGCAGCGACGCCGCGUGAAGGAAGAAGUAUCUCGGUAUGUAAACUUCUAUCAGCAGGGAAGAUAGUGACGGUACCUGACUAAGAAGCCCCGGCUAACUACGUGCCAGCAGCCGCGGUAAU